CGCGUAGGCGGGUCUGCAAGUCCGGGGUGAAAGCCCCCAGCUCAACUGGGGAAGUGCCUUGGAAACUGCGGGUCUUGAGGGAGGUAGGGGCAUGUGGAACUUCGGGUGGAGCGGUGAAAUGCGUUGAUAUCCGAAGGAACGCCGGUGGCGAAAGCGACGUGCUGGACCUUUUCUGACGCUGAGGCGCGAAAGCCAGGGUAGCGAACGGGAUUAGAUACCCCGGUAGUCCUGGCCCUAAACGAUGGGAACUAGAUUGCGGACUAAACAUGGGUUCGCAGUCGAAGCAAAAGUGUUAAGUUCCCCGCCUGGGGAGUAUGGUCGCAAGGCUGAA
rnacentral:rRNA from 1 species